rnacentral:rRNA from 1 species
GACGAACGCUGGCGGCGUGCUUAACACAUGCAAGUCGAACGGAAAGGCCCUGCUUUUGUGGGGUGCUCGAGUGGCGAACGGGUGAGUAACACGUGAGUAACCUGCCCUUGACUUUGGGAUAACUUCAGGAAACUGGGGCUAAUACCGGAUAGGAGCUCCUGCUGCAUGGUGGGGGUUGGAAAGUUUCGGCGGUUGGGGAUGGACUCGCGGCUUAUCAGCUUGUUGGUGGGGUAGUGGCUUACCAAGGCUUUGACGGGUAGCCGGCCUGAGAGGGUGACCGGCCACAUUGGGACUGGGAUACGGCCCGGACUCCUACGGGAGGCAGCGGUGGGGAAUAUUGCACAAUGGGCGGAAGCCGGAUGCAGCAACGCCGCGGGCGGGAUGACGGCCUUCGGGUUGUAAACCGCUUUCGCCUGUGACGAAGCGUGAGUGACGGUAAUGGGUAAAGAAGCACCGGCUAACUACGUG